rnacentral:rRNA from 1 species
UGGGGAAUAUUGCACAAUGGGCGCAAGCCUGAUGCAGCCAUGCCGCGUGUGUGAAGAAGGCCUUCGGGUUGUAAAGCACUUUCAGCGAGGAGGAAGGGUGGUGUGUUAAUAGCACAUUGCAUUGACGUUACUCGCAGAAGAAGCACCGGCUAACUCCGUGCCAGCAGCCGCGGUAAUACGGAGGGUGCAAGCGUUAAUCGGAAUUACUGGGCGUAAAGCGCACGCAGGCGGUAUGUUAAGUCAGAUGUGAAAUCCCCGCGCUUAACGUGGGAACUGCAUUUGAAACUGGCAAGCUAGAGUCUUGUAGAGGGGGGUAGAAUUCCAGGUGUAGCGGUGAAAUGCGUAGAGAUCUGGAGGAAUACCGGUGGCGAAGGCGGCCCCCUGGACAAAGACUGACGCUCAGGUGCGAAAGCGUGGGGAGCAAACA